rnacentral:rRNA from 1 species
CCUACGGGUGGCACCAGUGGGGAAUAUUGCACAAUGGGCGCAAGCCUGAUGCAGCCAUGCCGCGUGUAUGAAGAAGGCCUUCGGGUUGUAAAGUACUUUCAGCGGGGAGGAAGGUGUUGUGGUUAAUAACCGCAGCAAUUGACGUUACCCGCAGAAGAAGCACCGGCUAACUCCGUGCCAGCAGCCGCGGUAAUACGGAGGGUGCAAGCGUUAAUCGGAAUUACUGGGCGUAAAGCGCACGCAGGCGGUCUGUCAAGUCGGAUGUGAAAUCCCCGGGCUCAACCUGGGAACUGCAUUCGAAACUGGCAGGCUAGAGUCUUGUAGAGGGAGGUAGAAUUCCAGGUGUAGCGGUGAAAUGCGUAGAGAUCUGGAGGAAUACCGGUGGCGAAGGCGGCCCCCUGGACAAAGACUGACGCUCAGGUGCGAAAGCGUGGGGAGCAAACAGGAUUAGAUACCCCAGUAGU